AGACCGCCAUGGUGACUUGCAAGCAACUCACUGCACUUAGGCACUGGACUACCUGAAUUUCUAAUUCAGUGACGGAAAGCUGCUGGGUGUAGUCAAGUACUUGACUUAUCGGUACGUAUGUCAAGAUGGGAUUGACCACUCCAGUUCAGGAGCUGUAUACAGUCGUAUUUUAAUUUAGCAAAACCUUGGCCAGGGUAGUCCUAGUGAGG
rnacentral:lncRNA from 1 species